ensembl:lncRNA
CAGCGGCAUCCUUUCUGGACCUGCCAGCUGAGCUGCCCGCAGCAAUGGGUGCACUGCACAGGACUGCCCAUUGUCACUGCCAGCCCACAAAGCCUGUGCAGCUGUGUCCUGCUCGUGCCCUGCUCCAUGGUGACACCUGGUGAUGCUGCCCUUGGUGGGGUGGAGAGGAGGACAACAGGGAUUGGUCUCAGCUCAGCAUCAGAGCAUUCUGUGGGUCAGAGCUGGGACACCCUUGUGCCAUACAAACCAGUGACCCUACCCAGGGAACCAGAUGCAUGAUCAUUUCAACAGGAGAGUUUCCAUCCAGCCUAGAUAGGGAAGAAUCAGUCACCAAAAGAAGAAAGCAUCUGGAAGAGCCAUUCACCGGGAUGAGCAAUUUGUACCACCACGCUUGGUUUUGGAAGCAACCCUUUGGGAAACAGCUUGGGUUGGCCUGGAGAUGAUCUGAUGCUCUUAUGGCCUGCAGCAGGAGUUCACCUGACAAUAAGGUGCCCAGCAGCAGGUGAACCUUCCCAUCAGCCCCCAGCAACCCUGUGCCAUCCCCAGCAUCGACCCCCACG